rnacentral:rRNA from 1 species
GAGAAGUCCACUGAACCUUAUCAUUUAGAGGAAGGAGAAGUCGUAAAUGGGUUUCUGUAGGUCAACGUGCGGAAGGAUCAUUGUUGAAAACUGCCAAGUAGAGCAACCUGUGGACAUGUUGAAAUAAAUCAUCGGGGGUGCAGCACCAAUGCGGUGGGCUGUCGUCGACCAUUGACCAAGCCCGCACCUCAUAUCUGCUUCAGGAGCGGCUAUCGGGGUGCCGGGUUAGGCUUGGCACAAGAAUGAACCCCAGCGUGGAUCGCGCCAAGGAACAGUAACAUAGGGUGAGUUGCCUUGCUGCCUGAAGCCUGGUGAGUGAGGUGGUGACCUAUCAUAUCUGAAUGACUCUUGGCAAUGGAUAUCUCAGCUCUUGCAUCGAUGAAGAACGUAGCUAAAUGUGAUACUUGGUGUGAAUUGCAGAAUGCCAUGAACCAUCGAGUCUUUCAACACAAGUUGCGCUCGAAGCCUCUAGGCUGAGGGCACAUCUACUUGGGCAUCAUGUAUAGCAUCAACCCCAACCAAGCCAUUGUGUCUCUGCGUGCUAGGUUGGGGCGGAGAGUGGCCUCGCGUGCGUUGUUAAGCGGUUGCCCUAAAAUUGGAGCUCGACGACUGCGCCACGACAUUCGGUGGUCGACAAGGCGAAGGCCAAGGUUGCAUCACGUCUUGCUCGACACGUCACCCAUGAAGCUCGCAUGAAACGACGUCCGUACGGCACCAAUGCGGCGACCCUAGGUUAGGUUGAGCUACUCACUGAGUUCAAGCAUAUCAAUAAGCGGAGGAAAAGAAACUCACAAGGAUUCCCCUAGUAACGGCGAGCGAACCGGGAAGUGCCCAGCUUUAGAAUCGGGCGGCUCGUCCGUCU